GAUGUGGGGAAACCUCCUUCAGGGACAGGGGCCGCGAGCGUCCGCCGCGGGGAGGGCGCCCCGCAGCUGCCCGCUUCGCGCCUUCCUGGCCGGCACUGCUGCCGCGCGCACCUCGCGGCUCUCCCUCCUGGCGCGCGGCCCCGGCUCGGCUGCACAGACGCUCCUGCGCCCCGUCUCCCUCACUGCUGGUUUUCAGUGCCCGCCCACGUAAGGGCGCGAGGACCCGGGGGAGGCCCCGCAGGACCAGCCGUGCGGGCUGUAGACUUCGUGCAGGGCCGAAAUCAGAUGCGAGCCGGAGAAGGUGGGAACGGUUUACUGAGUGGUGUAAGUGACGGAGAAUAGCAGGCCUAGCAUCUAGGAGACUGCGGGGGAAGUGAGCCCCGUCGUCGCUUGGGGUCCGGGUACUGCUCCUUCGUGAAUCCAGGGUAAGGGCCUAUCAAAGGCGAGUGUGGGGUGAACAACAGGUGUUAUUCCAUAAGUCAUCAAAGGCAGGGGUUUGAUGCCAGCGUCAGCCUAGGUUGGUUUGAAGCUCAUUUCCUGGGACAUGGCUGAGAUCUGGCUCUUCUCAGGUGUUACCAGGUGUUUGGGGCCUGGGACAGAACUCAGAGAAUGAUUAACUUGCUUCCGGCUUGCAGUGGGAACCGACCUUUGACUUACUCACAGGCAAAGAUGGGUCAUGGGCCUGGCAGCAAAACAGCAGAGUAGCCUUUCAAAAAUGAUGUCCCUUUAGCUUCCCUGCCUUUGUGAUCUGUUUGCUUGGGUCAGGAGUCUGGGCACAGCCUAGCCACGUCUGUGUUUGGGUCUCUCCCAGGGUACCAGGAAGGCGUGGGUGGGGGCUGGGGUCUUUCCUGAGGCUCCAAGGGGGAGCAUGUGCUCCCAGACUCACUUGGUUGUUGGCAGGAUUCGGUGCCUGAGGGUGGGAAGUGGGAGUUCUCUCGCGUCUCCAGACACAUUAGCUGGGGAUGCAGGCUUUCCCACAGGCCCUGCAUUCUUGGGUUUCUCGAUGGAAUGGGUGCUCUCGUGUUUCAUCGCUGCUGAGAAACCUUUACAGCGUCUGCCACAGGUCUGUGUCAUGGGGCUUGAACGGCGUGUCCCCGAAGCACCAUACAGUUGUCUUUCCGUGCCCCGGGUGCUUUCCUGUCAAUGACUUCUUUUGUGGCUUCUCAUCAGCCUCAUUCAGACAUGCUUACAGAAACCCCAGAGCUCGGAGGGCCCCUUGAAACGUUCACCUGCUCCCUGACAAUGAUUCUUUCUACAAGAUUCUCCUACAAAAGCCUCUUGCUCUGGUGUCUGCCAUGUGUCCUUAACCCCACACACCAAACAGAAGCACAGGUGACGAGUGGCCCUGAUGCUGGGCGGGAAGAGGGGCAGCAUCACGCUGGGCUGGGCCAUCUGUGGUGGACAUGGAGGAUGCUGGCAAUCCAGAAGCUAGGAACUCCAUGCCAUCUGCUGUGCCCAGUGCAACCUGACCGUGAUCAGCCUGGCGCUGGCCUGCACCCCACCACCUCUCCAGCUCCCAGCUGUGGGACCAGGCGUCGUGCCCUGAACAUGCCAGGCCUGCCCCAGCCUCCCUCUCAGCCUUUGCUCCUUCUGCUGCCCAGCCUGGAAAGCUCCCCCUGUGCUGUCCACAGCCUCGUUCCCUUUCCUCGUCACUGGACACGGGUCCUACAUCUCCAGAGGGAAUACUGCCGUGAGGUGUUCACUGUGUCCAUCGGCUCAUCACUGGCUAGGGAUGAUUCUGAUCACGUGGUCAGAAUGUCUGGGUUUUCCACAGUGUGGUUGCUCUUUUCCCUUUGCAACUAGUAAGCCAUCCUUGAGUAGAAAGGCAGAGGAACUGAUCACACUAAGGAACCGUGAGGACACAUGGCAGCUGGAGGCAGGACAUGGCUGCUGGAGGGGAGGGAAAGCCCUGCAAUGACAGCAGUGGACAAAGGCAGAGCUGGGGGCGGUGCUGUGUGCGGUGUUGCACCAGUGUGCCUGAAUCUGGUGACUGUCCUGGUGACUGUCCUGUGGCUUCGUAAGAGAACACCCAAGUGUAGGAAGCACACACCAGACCAUUAGGAGACCAAGGGACUCGGUGUUUGCAAACUGCCUAAAAAGGGUUGGGAGAAAAGAUUUGUACAGAUAUAAACAAAUUCGAAGAGUACACUUCUGCCACGUGGUGAGAACUGUGACGUCUUUCUAUUUGUCUCGUUUCCCAAAUUUUCUACAAAAUACUUUGCUUAUAUAAUAGAAAACAUGCGUCUGAGUCCUGUCUUGCAUGAACUGCUCGGACAGCCAGGAACCAGAAGAGGGCUUUUUCAUUGCCAGCUAGAGCGGUGACUCCAUCCUGGGCUGCACACUAUUUUUCUUUUCCAGCAGGUUCCAGGGCCUGUUGUUUGCUUCUGCUCGGACCCCUCCCCUUAUGCAUUCUGGCAAGAGCACACCUUUACUUCUGGGGAGCAUUGCUCUCCCUGUGUCCCCCUAGAUCAUUUUGGAGCCCAAGGCCACACAGGGCCUGGCAGACAUGAGAGGUGGAAAGGUGACAGGGAGAGCUGGUCACAGCAAGGUUCCGGUCCCCACCAGGACACCUGGACUCCCUGGGUUGCUGAAGCAGUGCUUGCCUCUCGGGGCUGCCCCUGGUCCUUCCAGGCCUGUGGGGCCCCAGAUGGUGCCGAGCAGCUCCUGUCACUCACACUGUUGCUUCGGCAGUGGUCCGCCUGUCUUCAAGGGUUCAGGCCCUGGGCCCCCAAGACCUGCCAGGUGCCUGGAGGAGCAGAGGGGUGUCAUUUGGGCCAGUGGUAAGGACUCUGAGAGAGAAAGAGACUACUUUGCAGAGGAGGAAGUGAGGAUUUCCUGAGGAAGGAGCUGGCACCCAGAAAAAGGAAGUGACGUACCUCACUGUUUCCGGGGAGUCCUGGCUACUUCUGUGCCGACAGACCAGCACCCAGUCUCUGCGGCUGGAAACCACAGAGCUCCAGUCAUUGCCAGUUGGCCAGCUCUGCGUCCACGGAUACCGAGUGGACCCCUCCAGCUGGGGUCACAGCUCCAUCGUCUCCCGCCUGUCCAGUCUAACUGGUGGGUCACCAGGCUCACGGGGAGGCUGCUCUUGCCUCUGGGCUCGUGUUCAUGGUUCCUGUCCUCCCUGCGGGCAGCCCCACCAGCCCCUGGGCACCCCCACGGCUUCUGCAGGACCCAGCAGGUCCUUGGCCCUGUGGCCCCAGCCUUGGGAGCUCUGCCCCCCGCCGACACCUGGGGCUCUGUCUCCUCCAGGUUUCCUGCAGGAGUCUCUGCUCCUCGUUCUGGGGUGCGUGCAAAUGUCACCAGACUGUGAGCCACCACGUGGAGAGACUUUGGGGCAGCAACAUUGUCUCCUUAGAGCCAGUGGUGAGGGAAAAAGGAAGCAAGGACAGAUGCCCGGGGUAGGAAGGGGUGUGCAUCAGGGGGUGUUACGCAGGGAUUGCGGGGACACGGGAAAGGGCUGGCGAUGGGCCCUGGGACCGUCCUCACCCCCACGUGUACAUCAGCGCGGCUUUAGCGCCAGGAGUCUGGUCUCCUGUUGGUCACGCCUCACCUGGGAGGCUCCGGAGCUGCAGGUGUGGGUCCCUGCGGGGCUGUAGUGAGGAGCACCCGCAAGGUGCAAGUUAGCACGUGUGGCGUUCUGGCGCCCAAACGGCUUCGCGAAGCACGACAGGGAGCCGCCCCCCCGACUGCGCGGCGCCCGCUCUGAGCGCUGGGCUUCCUGCACAGGGGCAGCCUGUGUGGGACUGAAAAGAUGCGCCCUGCCCCGCGUUUGCUCUGCCUCUUGCCGUCUCGGCGCCGGUGUGCCGCGGCAGAGUCACUGAGAACUCUAGGCUCUGCUUACUUUUCCGCAAAGGAAACCAGGACUUCUGAUCAAAGGUAACUGCGUAGGGGCCUUUACUUCUUUGCCUCAGGCUGCUGAAAACAGCGUGAAUGGAACGGGAACGGGGGGAGGCCCCGGCUGACAGGUCUGGCCGGACCGCCGACCGCCCGCCGACCGCCGGAGCUGCGGGCCUCGGGGCAGGGGCCGGUGGGAGAGCGCACGGCCAGCCGCACUGCAUGCUCAGCUGAGAGGCCCAGGCCACUCUGGCCCCGCCGCCUGCUUUCCCCCGGGGCGGUGCUAGCGCAGCCAGAGGCCCAGAUGGCUCCUCCCAGGGCAGUGAAAUUGCAUGUGGCACGACCGACCGACGAACACGAGGAGCUCGGACCAAGGGAACGAGUGUCACGAUAGAGGUUGAAUCAGCAAAAUGCAGAAAAGACAUGGAAGGAAAGGCAUUACGUGGAGGAAGACGCAGGAGAGCAGACGCCAAGGGAUCACCCCACAGUGCGAGGACCCGAUUCUUCCAGAGGCCGGGGAGCUUGCAGCGGGGCUAGCCUAGCCAGCACGGGGACUGCUGCCAGUGAGGCGCCCCAGGCAUGCCCACCCAGGCCUUCGCCCCCCGCAAUCGGAGAUGGCAUGUGGGCUGAGAGAGGGCUGGAGGGGAGACACCCUGGUGGCCCUCCAGUGGAAAAUGCCAGUUCAGCGGGUGUGGGGUGCGGAGUCACAGCACAGUGAGACCCAGCGGCUGCCCGGGCUGGUCUCAACCCGCAGCGUGCGGUGGAAUCUAGCAGAACUGGCCGAGGGCCUGCUCCUGCUGAGCUGGACGAUGGGGAUGCACACACGGACCCCGCAUCAUAGUGCCUGCCCCUGGGGUGCUCCCAGAGGAGAAGGGAGACACUCAGAGGCUCGGCGGUGCUGGAUGGCAGGUGCCCAGCGUGCCGACGGCUGCCUCAGCAUCUGAGGCAGGAGCCGCCGACUCUGUUGGGACAGCGGCCGCGGGCGCUGCCCGAGCGGCUUAUGAAGUGUGAGCAGGAGGGUGGGAGGGGCUCUGCGGCCGGAGAGAGCGGGGACCAGGGGGCCGGGAGCCCGGCUGCACUGACCGCCCUGGAGCUGCCAGUGGGUUCUAGCUAAGAAACAACCCCGAGAAGCAAAAAUGGGGUCAAACAAGUGUUCAUGUUGAGAAGCUAUUUAGAAUUUUUAAAGUCCUCUUCGAAGCACAACGUAGAAUAGUUUACUAGGAUUUCAUUGUACAUUGUUAAUUUCUUGGUAAUUCUUGUGAAAAAGGAAAAUGCACUGGAUUACUUAAUGUUUAUUCCUGUAAGACAAAAAGGUAUUAUCAGAAGUAAAAACGUUAGAAGCAACAGGAAGCUGAAUUCACACAACAGAAAGCCAAGUCAGGGAGGUGGAAGGUGGGUCUAAGGGAGCCUCACAGAGUGAAAUGGAAGACAACAGUUGGAAGAAGACGAGAAGAUGUGGAAGGCAGAGGAAGACAAGCAGGAUGCUUCCCGAUGGCUCUUCUGCAGAAGAUGACUGGUCCUUCGAUUAUGGAAAGGAGUAAAGCUGUCCAUCAGGAGCACAGAAGGGCGGGCCGCAGCGCACAGGGCCAUACGGGCGAGCCUCAGAAACACUCUGCUGAACGCAGAAAUCAGGCACAAAGCACUGCAUAGGUCACGGUUCCACGUAUCUGAAGUUAAGGCUAGAACAGUGGUCACCUUGGAAGUACCGGCUGGGGGGGGCAGGUUCUGAAAAGUUCUAUGUCUUGAACUGGGUGGCUUUACAGGAGAGGAAACAAGUAAAAAGUCAAGCAGGACACUUAAGAUGUGGGAGUUUUAAAUAUGUUAAAUUAUAACCGAAUAAAAAAAUUAAAAAUA